rnacentral:ncRNA from 2 species
UGAUUGCACUAUAUGUUGUGUUCGGGUCACUUGAAUGCAGGGGAACCUGGUGUGAAUCCAGGGCUGUCGCGCAACGGUAUGUGACUUGGUCAUAAGCCCGAUUACCUGCUCAAACUGUCACCUUAAA